rnacentral:tRNA from 1 species
GGGAAUGUGGCUUAGUGGUAGAGCACUUGCCUAGCAUGCAUGAGGCCCUGGUUUCCAUUCCUC